UACAGAGGGUGCGAACGUUGCUCGGAAUUACUGGGCGUAAAGAGCGCGCAGGCGGUCGAUCAAGUCGAGUGUGAAAGCCCCCGGCUCAACUGGGGAGGGUCAUUCGAUACUGAUCGACUCGAAGGCAGGAGAGGGUAGUGGAAUUCCCGGUGUAGUGGUGAAAUGCGUAGAUAUCGGGAGGAACACCAGUGGCGAAGGCGACUACCUGGCCUGUUCUUGACGCUGAGGCGCGGAAGCUAGGGUAGCAAACGGG
rnacentral:rRNA from 1 species